rnacentral:rRNA from 1 species
UACGGAGGGGGCUAGCGUUGUUCGGAAUUACUGGGCGUAAAGCGCACGUAGGCGGCUUUGUAAGUUAGAGGUGAAAGCCCAGGGCUUAACCCUGGAAUUGCCUUUAAGACUGCAUCGCUAGAAUCGUGGAGAGGUGAGUGGAAUUCCGAGUGUAGAGGUGAAAUUCGUAGAUAUUCGGAAGAACACCAGUGGCGAAGGCGACUGACUGGACAGGUAUUGACGCUGAGGUGCGAAAGCGUGGGGAGCAAACAGG